UAUCAUGAAUUGACCAGAAAAUGUACUUAGCUGGUAUCCCAGGUCAGAUGUAGCCCUUAAUUAGAAGUAUGAAAGCCAGACAUUUCUUCCCUUCGGGCCCUCCAUUGAACAACCCUGCUGUAUACUGUAUACUGUUUCCUCAGGUGCACAUGAACCCUCUGACAGUGGACGAGGGUGGGGAGUGCUGGGUUGGUCCGGACCACCUGUUGCUGACGGACCAUGACUCUAUGGAGGAGAGCCUGAGAGUGGAGCUGAAGAAUGAGCCCCAGCACGGAACUGUUCAGCUGGAUGGCUUCCCCAUUAAACCUGGCCUUCACUGUCCGCAACCAGAAAAGCUUAAAAGUUAGGUCAGAUUUGAUUGAUGACACCUCAUUCCUUGCACUUUUAAACACAGCAGCACUGAUGUUAAGUUUGGAUAUGUUGACUGCAUUCCAAUGGCCACAUUAGAAUACAGUUUAGAUCUCAGGAGGCUUCUGAGGGGAGGACCUCCUUCUCCAACAGUGACAUCAUGAACGGACACCAGGGGAUCGAGCCGACCGCCGACCAGUUCAUGCUCUGUCUCUCUGACGGGAAACACACCUCUGCCCACGUUCCCUUCUACGUCAUCAUUAACCCCAUCAAUGACGAGGUCCCGGAGUUCCUCGCCAGAAACAUCACAGUAGGCUCUGACUGGGUGACCCAGUCUGCGGGGAUGAAUUGCACCCAGGAGACAGUGGACACGAACCUGUUGCGCUACCUCCAUAUGGGGCCACACAGGACUUCUUUGUGUUCCACCUGCUGGACGGGAAGAACCGCUCCCCAUCACAGCACGGCCACAUCUCCCUCAAGGACAUGGAGAAAGCCGGUGAAAACCAGCUGCGGCGAGCGUGUGGUUCUGACAACAGGCGUCCUGCUGGCGACAGAUGGUACAGACAAACCCGAGGAGCUGCUGUACAUGGUCACGGUCGCCCCCGGCAACGACAAUGGAAUACAUCAAACACCCCGGGUUGGCCAUCAGCACCUUCAGCCAGAUGGACAUCGCUGCCAACCUGGUGGGCUACGUCCACGGCAACAGAGCCACUACAGUUUGUAGUCAGCAACAGCAAGGCCACCCGUAACGGCACCCUGGUUCUGCCCUCGCUGGCGUGUAACGGCGGCCUAAGAGUCCCCCAGGACUCCUCCAUGGCAGUGACCUCCGAAGCCCCGCCCAGUGACCUGCUCUUCUUCCUGGCCCAGCCUCCACAGUACUGCACCCUGCUCCGGGGCGGCGUCCCACUCACUGCCGGGGGGAGUAACUUCACCCAGUGGGACCUGCAGGAGCUGGAGGUGACCUACAGGCAUGGGGGUGGCCCCUCACAGAUCGGCCUCAGACACUACCAACAGGGGCUUCCUGCUGGAGGGGAGGGUACAGACUGAGGCUGUGUACUUCACCAUUCAGAUCGAACCGUUGGACAGGUCGGCCCCUGAGGUAGUGCAGCUGCAGUCUCUGUGGAAGGCUGAAGUCCUGUCUGAUGGUCGCUAUGGGAUCUACCUCUCGUCCCGGGAGCUGAGAGCGCAGGACGCCAACACCAAGGAUGAAGACCUAACCUUCCACAUCCACAGACCACCAUACUUGGGUUACCUGGAGAGCACUAGCACAGUGGCAGCCCCUUAUCCAUGGGUGUCAGGCCCCCUUCCCUCAGUUGUACCAUUUUGUACACUUAAAAUACAAUGUUUUAUUUUACUCAUAAUUAAUCAAAAUGCAUUGAAUUUGGCAAUCAGUGCCCCUUCAAAAAAACAACAACAUUACCAUAGCCAAAAAACCUUAGGUUAAUUGUGUUUGCUCUUCAGUAAACAGUCAACUUUGCACUGUACUCUUUGCAGGCAGCUUUGCCCAGCAGCGUUUCACUCAAAGGGACCUGAGCAAGAGGACUAUUGUGUAUAUCAUAGACCCAGCAACGGAAGCUCUGUCGGAGGUCAGAUUUUCUGAUAAUCUGGGGAACACUGGACCCUCCCACAUGUGAGAGAAGUCACAGCGACUGCUGGAGAGGAUUACAUUCUGAGCCCUUCCAGCCUAAUCCAGUUUGAUCCUGGUGUGUCCAAAAGGAGCUGGCGGAUCGAGAUUACCCAAGACCAACUGGAGGAGGCGGAGGAGACAUUUGAAUUGACUCUGGUGUCCCCUGAGGGGGCCAUGCUGGGCAGCAGCUCCAAAGCUCUGGUCUAGAUCAGGGACUCAGGAAAAGAAGUAUUGACAUAGCUACAACAUUUCUGACGGUCCAUCUCCAGCUCCCACAUACAAAGCCUGAGCCGCCCAAUAGGAAGGAGGCUCCAGGUAGCUCUGGCCCUAAACCCUGAGUCCCAGAGGUGAUGGGGCUCCUGCACUUCAACCAGAGCUCAGGCCGGCUCCUAUGCUGCAACGGGGUCUCCUGGAAGCCUUGGGCUCCCACUGAUGAGCAACACAGAUGGUCAGUGCGCAGACGUGUCGUAAGGGCUGGACUUAUCACAAUGGUUACUGCUACUUCCUUAGCACCGAGUGCAAGGCGACGUGGAGCGCUGCCGUCAGGGAAUGCAGGGAGAGGUGAGAACACCUACACAAACUGGAGGAAGAGCCCGGCCAGAGGAAGGGCACCAGGAGGUGUGUUCUGUUGUGGAGGAGGGCCGAGUGGCAAAUCAGACUGUAAUAUGGGCAGGGGACAUUGCUACAUGUGUUACGUCAAGACAUGAGCCAAGGGGGAUCUCUACGUUGGACACAUGCUGUGAAACAGAAAAAAUUUUCUUUCCACUGCCGUUGCAACAGGAUUGGAGCUGACCCUCAAGACAAGUUGCAUUCAUAAAGCUAACCAACCGAUUACCUAAAGGUACCCAAAGGACAUUUAAUAUGGUACUACAGCAAUAGAUAAAUGAAAAGGUCAGCUUCAAUUAAAGGGUUAAAGUAGUAGUGCAUUAAACACAUCAGUUGCAAACAUGUCUUGAUGCACCGCGUAAGCUCUCAACAUCACCAGUUUAUUAGGUACACCCAUCUAGUACCGGGUCAGACCCCCCUGUAGCCAUGAAGGGAUGCACCUGGUCAGCAACAAUGUUCAGAUACAACUGUGGCGUUCAAACGUUGCUCAAUUGGUAUCAAGGGACCUAACGUGUGCCAGGAAAACAUUUGCCACACCAUUACACCACCAGCCUGUACGGGUCCAUGGACUCUUGCUGCUUACGCCAGAUCCUGACUCUGCCAUCAGCAUGAUGCAACAGGAACCGGGAUUCGUCGGACCAGGUGAUAAUUUUUCCACU